rnacentral:tRNA from 1 species
GCUUUUUUAGUUUAAAAAAAACAUUAAUUUUGUAAAUUAAAAAUUUAGAGAAGCU